rnacentral:rRNA from 1 species
UACGUAGGGGCUAGCGUUGUCCGGAAUUACUGGGCGUAAAGGGCGUGUAGGCGGUCGAGCAAGUCAAGUGUGAAAAGCCCCCGGCUUAACCGAGGCAUUGCACAUGAAACUGCAUGGCUUGAGUGCAGGAGAGGGAAGUGGAAUUCCUAGUGUAGCGGUGAAAUGCGUAGAUAUUAGGAGGAACACCAGUGGCGAAGGCGACUUCCUGGACUGUAACUGACGCUGAGGCGCGAAAGCGUGGGUAGCAAACAGGAUUAGAUACCACCGUA